GCCCUUAGAUGUUGCUGGGCCGCACGCGCGCUACACUGAUGAAGUCAUCGAGUUCAUUUCCUUUAUCGGAAGAUAUGGGUAAUCUUUGAAACUUCAUCGUGCUAGGGAUAGAGCAUUGUAACUAUUGCUCUUGAACGAGGAAUCCCUAGUAAGUACAAGUCACUAGCUUGUGCUGAUUACGUCCCUGCCCUUUGUACACACCGCCCGUCGCUACUACCGAUUGAAUGGCUUAGUGAGGCCUUCGGAUUGAAAUUCGGAGACUGGCAACAGACUCUUGGUUUUGAAAAGUUGGUCAAACUUGGUCAUUUAGAGGAAGUAAAAGUCGUAACAAGGUUUCCGUAGGUGAACCUGCGGAAGGAUCAUUACCGAUUUUUAGCGGACCUGAUCUUUGAUCAUGGUCUCGCGAAAACUUGUAUUUAAAACCCCACUCUUAUAAAUUGAAUCAUUUUAUAUUAUGUAUAUAAUAAAUAAAGAUCACUUUCAACAACGGAUCUCUUGGCUCUCGCAUCGAUGAAGAACGUAGCGAAGUGCGAUAAGUAAUGUGAAUUGCAGAAUUCCGUGAAUCAUCGAAUCUUUGAACGCAAAUUGCACUCUCUGGCAACCCGGGGAGUAUGCCUGUUUGAGGGUCAGUGUUAAUAAAGAUCGGUGCGUCGCAAUUUUUUUGUGAUGUUUCCGGAGUUUGAGUUAUCUUAACUCUUCUGGGUUUUUAAGGGGCUUAAAAUUGACCUUUUUUUGUGCAUUUUAGACGUACAUAAAUUUUUUUUUAUUCGUCUAUCUUAAUGCCAAAAUCUAUUAGAUGCGACCAUAUCGUGUGCCUC
rnacentral:rRNA from 1 species